rnacentral:rRNA from 1 species
GCCUACGGGGAGCAGCAGUGAGGAAUAUUGGUCAAUGGUCGGGAGACUGAACCAGCCAAGCCGCGUGAGGGAGGAAGGUACAGAGUAUCGUAAACCUCUUUUGUCAGGGAACAAAGGCGGGGACGUGUCCCCGGAUGAGUGUACCUGAAGAAAAAGCAUCGGCUAAAUCCGGGCCAGCAGCCGCGGUAAUACGGAGGAUGCGAGCGUUAUCCGGAUUUAUUGGGUUUAAAGGGUGCGCAGGCGGUCUGUUAAGUCAGCGGUCAAAGCCCGGGGCUCAACCCCGGCCCGCCGUUGAAACUGGCAGU